AGAACCUUUUAGAGAUAAGAGGGUGCUAGCUUGCUAGAACUUAGAGACAGGUGCUGCACGGCUGUCGUCAGCUCGUGUCGUGAGAUGUUGGGUUAAGUCCCGCAACGAGCGCAACCCACGUAUUUAGUUGCUAACGGUUCGGCCGAGCACUCUAAAUAGACUGCCUUCGUAAGGAGGAGGAAGGUGUGGACGACGUCAAGUCAUCAUGGCCCUUAUGCCCAGGGCGACACACGUGCUACAAUGGCAUAUACAAUGAGACGCAAUACCGCGAGGUGGAGCAAAUCUAUAAAAUAUGUCCCAGUUCGGAUUGUUCUCUGCAACUCGAGAGCAUGAAGCCGGAAUCGCUAGUAAUCGUAGAUCAGCCAUGCUACGGUGAAUACGUUCCCGGGUCUUGUACUCACCGCCCGUCACACCAUGGGAGUUGAUUUCACUCGAAGCCGGAAUACUAAACUAGUUACCGUCCACAGUGGAAUCAGCGACUGGGGUGAAGUCGUAACAAGGUAACCGUAGGAGAACCUGCGGUUGGAUCACCUCCUUUCUAG
rnacentral:rRNA from 1 species